GAUGAACGCUGGCGGCGUGCCUAAUACAUGCAAGUCGAGCGAACGGACGAGAAGCUUGCUUCUCUGAUGUUAGCGGCGGACGGGUGAGUAACACGUGGAUAACCUACCUAUAAGACUGGGAUAACUUCGGGAAACCGGAGCUAAUACCGGAUAAUAUUUUGAACCGCAUGGUUCAAAAGUGAAAGACGGUCUUGCUGUCACUUAUAGAUGGAUCCGCGCUGCAUUAGCUAGUUGGUAAGGUAACGGCUUACCAAGGCAACGAUGCAUAGCCGACCUGAGAGGGUGAUCGGCCACACUGGAACUGAGACACGGUCCAGACUCCUACGGGAAGCAGCAGUAGGGAAUCUUCCGCAAUGGGCGAAAGCAUGACGGAGCAACGCCGCGUGAGUGAUGAAGGUCUUCGGAUCGUAAAACUCUGUUAUUAGGGAAGAACAUAUGUGUAAGUAACUGUGCACAUCUUGACGGUACCUAAUCAGAAAGCCACGGCUAACUACGUG
rnacentral:rRNA from 1 species